UGCACCUCUCAGUUCUUGCUCACAAGUGAAAGCAGUCUCAGAAAUUAUAUGCAUAGUAUAGCUUUGUAGUAAUUAUAUAAGUAUUUUAUAUGUAUUUGCUUUUCUAGGUUCUUUUAGAAAGAAGGAAUUAACUUUGCUGCCAUGGAAGUUCAAGGAAACUCUGACAGUACUUCUCUUUCUAACCAAAGGUUAUUGGGAAAAGUCGCUUUAGUCACCGGAGGGGCAAGUGGCAUAGGAGAGAGCAUAGUGCGUCUAUUUCAUAAACAUGGUGCAAAAGUAUGCAUUGCUGAUAUUCAAGAUGAACUUGGACAGCAUGUUUGUGGGACCCUUGGUAAUGACCAGAAUGUGUGUUUUAUCCACUGUGAUGUUACUGCAGAAGCUGAUAUUAGUAACGCAGUUGAUUUUACCAUUCAAAACUUUGGUACACUUGAUAUACUGGUUAAUAAUGCCGGGUUGUCUGGCCCCCCUAUUCCAGAUAUCCGUGACUAUGAACUUUCUGUGUUUGAGAAUGUGCUUGACGUGAACUUGAAAGGUGCUUUCCUUGGAAUGAAGCACGCGGCUCGAGUAAUGAUUCCGCUAAAGAAAGGAUCGAUAGUAUCUCUGUGUAGUGUCGCGAGUGUCCUUGGGGGCAUUGGCCCGCAUGGUUAUACAGCUUCCAAGUAUGCUGUUUUGGGACUUACGCAAAAUGUUGCAGCUGAGAUGGGAAAACAUGGUAUACGUGUGAAUUGUGUUUCUCCUUAUGCUGUUGCAACUGGAUUAGCUCUUGCUCACUUGCCUGAGGAGGAAAAGACCAAUGGUGCACUGGAAGGUUUUCGUGCUUUUGUUGGCAAGAAUGCUAACUUGCAGGGUGUGGAAUUGAUGGCUCACGAUGUUGCUAAUGCUGUGCUUUUCUUAGCCAGUGAUGAAGCAAGGUAUAUUAGUGGGCAUAAUCUGAUGAUUGAUGGUGGUUUCUCUUGUGUUAAUCACUCUCUUAGGGUCUUCAGAUAGCCUACAUCAACUAUCUUCCUUCAUCCAGGCUUGGAACCGGCAAUGUGAGCAAGCUCAUGUUGCGGCGAAAUUCUUAUAGAUCCAUGUUAUGCAAUCUAGGUUUCAGAUUUGGAAUUUUAUUGCUGUUCGAGAACUCCCCUUGAAGUUCCGCAGAUCUUGUUUUCAUUUGAAAGGCUUUGCAGUUUGCAUAAAUAGACUUCCUUCUGAAGCUGGCUUAAUAUGCACAUAUUUUGGUUUGGAUUUGGUGUGCCUUGUUGAUUAUGAGAUGAAAUUAAAAGAUCCAUCUUCUCUCAAAUGUCCUUUCAUUUGUAUUAGCAUUGUUGGCCUAAAAAUCAACAUUACUACUAUAUAUAAGAGAAGAUCUCAAAGUUUUGUAGUCCUCACAUAAAUCUCUCGUCUCUUUUUAUCCCUAAUUGAAGUAUUAAUUACUUUGCAAAUCUUGACA